rnacentral:rRNA from 1 species
AGCGAACGCUGGCGGCAGGCCUAACACAUGCCAGUCGAACGAACUCUUCGGAGUUAGUGGCGGACGGGUGAGUAACACGUGGGAACCUGCCUUUUGGUUCGGAAUAACUCAGGGAAACUUGUGCUCAUACCGAAUGUGCCCUUCGGGGGAAAGAUUUAUCGCCAUUUGAGCGGCCCGCGUCUGAUUAGCUAGUUGGUGAGGUAACGGCUCACCAAGGCGACGAUCAGUAGCUGGUCUGAGAGGAUGACCAGCCACACUGGGACUGAGACACGGCCCAGACUCCGACGGGAGGGAGCAGUGGGGAAUCUUGCGCAAUGGGCGAAAGCCUGACGCAGCCAUGCCGCGUGAAUGAUGAAGGUCUUAGGAUUGUAAAAUUCUUUCACCGGGGACGAUAAUGACGGUACCCGGAGAAGAAGCCCCGGCUAACUUCGUG